rnacentral:rRNA from 1 species
GAUGAACGCUGGCGGCGUGCCUAAUACAUGCAAGUCGAGCGAACGGACGAGAAGCUUGCUUCUCUGAUGUUAGCGGCGGACGGGGGAGUAACACGUGGAUAACCUACCUAUAAGACUGGGAUAACUUCGGGAAAACGGAGCUAAUACCGGAUAAUAUUUUGAACCGCAUGGUUCAAAAGUAAAAGACGGUCUUGCUGUCACUUAUAGAUGAAUCCGCGCUGCAUUAGCUAGUUGGUAAGGUAACGGCUUACCAAGGCAACGAUGCAUAGCCGACCUGAGAGGGUGAUCGGCCACACUGGAACUGAGACACGGUCCAGACUCCUACGGGAGGCAGCAGUAGGGAAUCUUCCGCAAUGGGCGAAAGCCUGACGGAGCAACGCCGCGUGAGUGAUGAAGGUCUUCGGAUCGUAAAACUCUGUUAUUAGGGAAGAACAUAUUUGUAAGUAACUGUGCACAUCUUGACGUUACCUAAUCAGAAAGCCACGGCUAACUACGUG